rnacentral:other from 2 species
AGUGACCUGGGAUGCGCGACAACUUCUGUUGUUUUGAACCUACAUUACUUUAAACGGGACUCUUAUAUCUCCGUAAUAUGUCAAGCCUCCAGAUACGCAGGGGAAGGCAGAAAAGCGGAUGCGGACACCCACCUAGCAGCAGCUAGGAGUCAAGAGACAGAAACCGGCAUUUCGGGAUAUAC